GACGAACGCUGGCGGCGUGCUUAACACAUGCAAGUCGAACGGUGAAGCGCCUUCCUUUUUGGUGGGUGUGGAUGAGUGGCGAACGGGUGAGUAACACGUGAGUAACCUGCCCCCUUCUUCUGGAUAACCGCAUGAAAGUGUGGCUAAUACGGGAUAUUCUGGGUCUGUCGCAUGAUGGGUCUGGGAAAGAUAUUGUUUCGGUGGGGGAUGGGCUCGCGGCCUAUCAGCUUGUUGGUGGGGUGAUGGCCUACCAAGGCGGUGACGGGUAGCCGGCCUGAGAGGGUGGACGGUCACACUGGGACUGAGACACGGCCCAGACUCCUACGGGAGGAAGCAGUGGGGAAUAUUGCACAAUGGGCGCAAGCCUGAUGCAGCGACGCCGCGUGAGGGAUGGAGGCCUUCGGGUUGUGAACCUCUUUCGCCAGUGAAGCAGGCCUGCCUCGUUUGUGGGUGGGUUGACGGUAGCUGGAGAAGAAGCGCCGGCUAACUACGUG
rnacentral:rRNA from 1 species